GCCCCCAUCGUCUAGUGGCCUAGGAUACUGGGUUUUCAUCCCAGCGACAGGGGUUCGAAUCCCCUUGGGGGUA
rfam:Orenia sp. Z6 2524618308, whole genome shotgun sequence.